AGAGUUUGAUCCUGGCUCAGGACGAACGCUGGCGGCGUGCUUAACACAUGCAAGUCGAGCGGUAAGGCUCCUUCGGGAGUACACGAGCGGCGAACGGGUGAGUAACACGUGAGCAAUCUGCCCUUCUCUUCGGAAUAACCAUUGGAAACGAUGGCUAAUGCCGAAUAUGACGUUUGACCGCAUGGUCUUACGUGGAAAGCUCCGGCGGAGAAGGAUGAGCUCGCGGCCUAUCAGCUUGUUGGUGAGGUAAUGGCUCACCAAGGCAUUGACGGGUAGCCGGCCUGAGAGGGUGACCGGCCACACUGGGACUGAGACACGGCCCAGACUCCUACGGGAGGCAGCAGUGGGGAAUAUUGGACAAUGGGCGAAAGCCUGAUCCAGCAACGCCGCGUGAGGGAUGACGGCCUCGGGUUGUAAACCUCUUUCAGUAGGGACGAAGCGAAAGUGACGGUACCUACAGAAGAAGGACCGGCCAACUACGUGCCAGCAGCCGCGGUAAUACGUAGGGUCCGAGCGUUGUCCGGAAUUAUUGGGCGUAAAGGGCUCGUAGGCGGUUUGUCGCGUCGGGAGUGAAAACUCAGGGCUCAACCCUGAGCGUGCUUCCGAUACGGGCAGACUAGAGGUAUUCAGGGGAGAACGGAAUUCCUGGUGUAGCGGUGGAAUGCGCAGAUAUCAGGAGGAACACCGGUGGCGAAGGCGGUUCUCUGGGAAUUACCUGACGCUGAGGAGCGAAAGCAUGGGGAGCGAACAGGAUUAGAUACCCUGGUAGUCCAUGCCGUAAACGUUGGGCGCUAGGUGUGGGGACCUUCCACGGUCUCCGUGCCGCAGCUAACGCAUUAAGCGCCCCGCCUGGGGAGUACGGCCGCAAGGCUAAAACUCAAAGGAAUUGACGGGGGCCCGCACAAGCGGCGGAGCAUGCUGAUUAAUUCGAUGCAACGCGAAGAACCUUACCUGGGUUUGACAUAUACCGGAAAGCUGCAGAGAUGUAGCCCCCUUUUGGUCGGUAUACAGGUGGUGCAUGGCUGUCGUCAGCUCGUGUCGUGAGAUGUUGGGUUAAGUCCCGCAACGAGCGCAACCCUCGUUCUAUGUUGCCAGCACGUAAUGGUGGGGACUCAUAGGAGACUGCCGGGGUCAACUCGGAGGAAGGUGGGGAUGACGUCAAGUCUUCAUGCCCCUUAUGUCCAGGGCUUCAAGCAUGCUACAAUGGCCGGUACAAAGGGCUGCGAAACCGCAAGGUGGAGCGAAUCCCAAAAAGCCGGUCUCAGUUCGGAUUGGGGUCUGCAACUCGACCCCAUGAAGUCGGAGUCGCUAGUAAUCGCAGAUCAGCAACGCUGCGGUGAAUACGUUCCCGGGCCUUGUACACACCGCCCGUCACGUCAUGAAAGUCGGCAACACCCGAAGCCAGUGGCCCAACCGUUUACGGAGGGAGCUGUCGAAGGUGGGGCUGGCGAUUGGGACGAAGUCGUAACAAGGUA
rnacentral:rRNA from 1 species